AGGCGUGGCUUUGUUGGAGUAGGCGUGGCCUUGUUGAAGGAACUGUGUCACUGUGGGGUCAGGCUGUGAGGUCUCUUUUGCUUUUAAGCUUUGCUCAGUGUCACAGCCAUUUCCUUUGCCUUCUGAUCAAGAUGUCUGCCUGCACAACACUGCCAUGCUCCCUGCGGUGAUGAUGACGGACUGAACCUCGGAAACUGACGAAAACCUGCAAUUUAAGUCAAGAUGUAUUGAGAAGCAGAUGAAACGCCCUACAACCUAGAAGUGUUUGAGGGAUAGAAGACCCACCUGAGAGAAAACACCACGCUGGCCUUUCCAGCAAGAAAGAGUAGGAAACUAUUGGGAUUGGGAGAUCAGAAGCUUGAAAUUCUGGAAUGUGCCUCAGCGAACAGCAGGGCCACUGAUCCUGACUUGGCUUUCACAUCUAGGAAGCACCAAACCAACAGCACCGUGUACAGAGAGAGACUGAGUGUGAACAACCUCCAGGACUCAGUUGGCUGGAUCCUUAGAGUGGAAGGAGAGAUGAAUCCUCCAAGUUUUCUUCUGACCUUCACAUAUGUGCUGUGUUAUAUGUCUGUGGGUGAGCACACAGACACACAUACACACACACAUACACACACACAUGGACACCCCCCUACAAGCUCACACACACACAGAGUAAAUAAAUGUAAAAAGAUUAAAAGAAGAAAAUCAUAUUUGCUAAAAAAUGUGUGGAACUGGAAAUCGCUAUGUUAAGCCAAUCAGCCAGACUGAGAAGGACAGUGUCCCAGGCCUUUUCUCCCCUGUGAAGUCCUCAGUCAACUUGCUAGGGUGUUUGGUUUUCUAUUUCAAGAGGCAGUGAGAGAAUUAAGUCUGUGAAUAGUGAGUCAUCAUGACAAAUUCUCAAAGAAAGCUUGAGUAAAAAAACCAAAAAAACCAAAAAAAAAAAAAAAAAAGAAA